rnacentral:rRNA from 1 species
GUUGAACGCUGGCGGCAGGCCUAACACAUGCAAGUCGAACGGUAACAGGAAACAGCUUGCUGUUUCGCUGACGAGUGGCGGACGGGUGAGAAAUGUCUGGCAAACUGCCUGCUGGAGGGGGAUAACUACUGGAAACGGUAGCUAAUACCGCAUAACGUCGCAAGACCAAAGAGGGGGACACUCGGGCCUCUUGCCAUCGGAUGUGCCCAGAUGGGCUUCGCUGGUUGGUGGGGUAACGGCCCACCAAGGCGACGAUCCCUAGCUGGUCUGAGAGGAGGGCCAGCCACACGGGAACUGAGACACGGUCCAGGCUACUACGGGAGGCAGCAGAGGGGAAUAUUGCACAAUGGGCGCAAGCCUGAUGCAGCCAUGCCGCGUGUAUGAAGAAGGCCUUCGGGUUGUAAAGUACUUUCAGCGGGGAGGAAGGGAGUAAAGUUAAUACCUUUGCUCAUUGACGGUACCCGCAGAAGAAGCACCGGCUAACUACGUG